rnacentral:rRNA from 1 species
AAUGAGGCGAACCGNCCCUGGCAGUCAGAGGCGAUGAAGGACGUGCUAAUCUGCGAUAAGCGUCGGUAAGGUGAUAUGAACCGUUAUAACCGGCGAUUUCCGAAUGGGGAAACCCAGUGUGAUUCGUCACACUAUCAUUAACUGAAUCCAUAGGUUAAUGAGGCGAACCGGGGGAACUGAAACAUCUAAGUACCCCGAGGAAAAGAAAUCAACCGAGAUUCCCCCAGUAGCGGCGAGCGAACGGGGAGCAGCCCAGAGCCUGAAUCAGUGUGUGUGUUAGUGGAAGCGUCUGGAAAGGCGCGCGAUACAGGGUGACAGCCCCGUACACAAAAAUGCACAUGCUGUGAGCUCGAUGAGUAGGGCGGGACACGUGGUAUCCUGUCUGAAUAUGGGGGGACCAUCCUCCAAGGCUAAAUACUCCUGACUGACCGAUAGUGAACCAGUACCGUGAGGGAAAGGCGAAAAGAACCCCGGCGAGGGGAGUGAAAAAGAACCUGAAACCGUGUACGUACAAGCAGUGGGAGCACAGAGCAAUCUGUGUGACUGCGUACCUUUUGUAUAAUGGGUCAGCGACUUAUAUUCUGUAGCAAGGUUAACCGAAUAGGGGAGCCGAAGGGAAACCGAGUCUUAACUGGGCGUUAAGUUGCAGGGUAUAGACCCGAAACCCGGUGAUCUAGCCAUGGGCAGGUUGAAGGUUGGGUAACACUAACUGGAGGACCGAACCGACUAAUGUUGAAAAAUUAGCGGAUGACUUGUGGCUGGGGGUGAAAGGCCAAUCAAACCGGGAGAUAGCUGGUUCUCCCCGAAAGCUAUUUAGGUAGCGCCUCGUGAAUUCAUCUCCGGGGGUAGAGCACUGUUUCGGCAAGGGGGUCAUCCCGACUUACCAACCCGAUGCAAACUGCGAAUACCGGAGAAUGUUAUCACGGGAGACACACGGCGGGUGCUAACGUCCGUCGUGAAGAGGGAAACAACCCAGACCGCCAGCUAAGGUCCCAAAGUCAUGGUUAAGUGGGAAACGAUGUGGGAAGGCCCAGACAGCCAGGAUGUUGGCUUAGAAGCAGCCAUCAUUUAAAGAAAGCGUAAUAGCUCACUGGUCGAGUCGGCCUGCGCGGAAGAUGUAACGGGGCUAAACCAUGCACCGAAGCUGCGGCAGCGACGCUUAUGCGUUGUUGGGUAGGGGAGCGUUCUGUAAGCCUGUGAAGGUGUGCUGUGAGGCAUGCUGGAGGUAUCAGAAGUGCGAAUGCUGACAUAAGUAACGAUAAAGCGGGUGAAAAGCCCGCUCGCCGGAAGACCAAGGGUUCCUGUCCAACGUUAAUCGGGGCAGGGUGAGUCGACCCCUAAGGCGAGGCCGAAAGGCGUAGUCGAUGGGAAACAGGUUAAUAUUCCUGUACUUGGUGUUACUGCGAAGGGGGGACGGAGAAGGCUAUGUUGGCCGGGCGACGGUUGUCCCGGUUUAAGCGUGUAGGCUGGUUUUCCAGGCAAAUCCGGAAAAUCAAGGCUGAGGCGUGAUGACGAGGCACUACGGUGCUGAAGCAACAAAUGCCCUGCUUCCAGGAAAAGCCUCUAAGCAUCAGGUAACAUCAAAUCGUACCCCAAACCGACACAGGUGGUCAGGUAGAGAAUACCAAGGCGCUUGAGAGAACUCGGGUGAAGGAACUAGGCAAAAUGGUGCCGUAACUUCGGGAGAAGGCACGCUGAUAUGUAGGUGAAGUCCCUCGCGGAUGGAGCUGAAAUCAGUCGAAGAUACCAGCUGGCUGCAACUGUUUAUUAAAAACACAGCACUGUGCAAACACGAAAGUGGACGUAUACGGUGUGACGCCUGCCCGGUGCCGGAAGGUUAAUUGAUGGGGUUAGCGGUAACGCGAAGCUCUUGAUCGAAGCCCCGGUAAACGGCGGCCGUAACUAUAACGGUCCUAAGGUAGCGAAAUUCCUUGUCGGGUAAGUUCCGACCUGCACGAAUGGCGUAAUGAUGGCCAGGCUGUCUCCACCCGAGACUCAGUGAAAUUGAACUCGCUGUGAAGAUGCAGUGUACCCGCGGCAAGACGGAAAGACCCCGUGAACCUUUACUAUAGCUUGACACUGAACAUUGAGCCUUGAUGUGUAGGAUAGGUGGGAGGCUUUGAAGUGUGGACGCCAGUCUGCAUGGAGCCGACCUUGAAAUACCACCCUUUAAUGUUUGAUGUUCUAACGUUGGCCCCUGAUCGGGGUUGCGGACAGUGUCUGGUGGGUAGUUUGACUGGGGCGGUCUCCUCCUAAAGAGUAACGGAGGAGCACGAAGGUUGGCUAAUCCUGGUCGGACAUCAGGAGGUUAGUGCAAUGGCAUAAGCCAGCUUGACUGCGAGCGUGACGGCGCGAGCAGGUGCGAAAGCAGGUCAUAGUGAUCCGGUGGUUCUGAAUGGAAGGGCCAUCGCUCAACGGAUAAAAGGUACUCCGGGGAUAACAGGCUGAUACCGCCCAAGAGUUCAUAUCGACGGCGGUGUUUGGCACCUCGAUGUCGGCUCAUCACAUCCUGGGGCUGAAGUAGGUCCCAAGGGUAUGGCUGUUCGCCAUUUAAAGUGGUACGCGAGCUGGGUUUAGAACGUCGUGAGACAGUUCGGUCCCUAUCUGCCGUGGGCGCUGGAGAACUGAGGGGGGCUGCUCCUAGUACGAGAGGACCGGAGUGGACGCAUCACUGGUGUUCGGGUUGUCAUGCCAAUGGCACUGCCCGGUAGCUAAAUGCGGAAGAGAUAAGUGCUGAAAGCAUCUAAGCACGAAACUUGCCCCGAGAUGAGUUCUCCCUGACUCCUUGAGAGUCCUGAAGGAACGUUGAAGACGACGACGUUGAUAGGCCGGGUGUGUAAGCGCAGCGAUGCGUUGAGCUAACCGGUACUAAUGAACCGUGAGGCUUAACC